UGGCUCACCCCCUCUCCCCCGACCCUCGUUAACCCUCCACGCUGGGCGGAUGGGAAGGGCUGGAUGCUUGCCG
ensembl:miRNA